UACGUAGGGUGCAAGCGUUGUCCGGAAUUAUUGGGCGUAAAGAGCUCGUAGGCGGUCUGUCGCGUCUGGUGUGAAAACUCAAGGCUUAACCUUGGGCCUGCAUCGGGUACGGGCAGACUAGAGUGCGGUAGGGGAGACUGGAAUUCCUGGUGUAGCGGUGAAAUGCGCAGAUAUCAGGAAGAACACCCGUGGCGAAGGCGGCUCUCUGGGACGGUACUGACGCUGAGACGCGAAAGCGUGGGGAGCGAACAGG
rnacentral:rRNA from 1 species